UACGAAGGGGGCUAUCGUUGUUCGGAUUUACUGGGCGUAAAGCGCGUGUAGGCGGGUCGUUAAGUUGGGGGUGAAAGCCCGGAGCUCAACUCCGGAACUGCCUUCAAAACCGGCGACCUGGAGCAUGUCAGAGGCGAGUGGAAUUGCGAGUGUAGAGGUGAAAUUCGUUGAUAUUCGCAGGAACACCAGUGGCGAAGGCGACUCGCUGGGACAUUGCUGCCGCUGAGACGCGAAAGCGUGGGGAGCAAACAGG
rnacentral:rRNA from 1 species